UGACAUCGACAGUCGCCGGAGGCCGAGCCUCGGCUGCCGCCGGCCAUGGCAACCGCCACCGUGGUGCAUCGUGGAGAUGGGGACUAAGGCGGAAAGAGGUGCAAGGUGAGUCUGGGAUGCAGUGGGGUCGGGGCCCGACGCCGGCGAGGCCACCGGCGGCGAGCCGGCCGCUGUGCCUGCCUCGGCGCCGUGGCCAUGGUCGGGAGCGGAGAGAAGAAGGGGAAAAAGGAGCUGGACCCACCUACCAUAGAGAGGAAAAGAAGGAAGGGUGCAGAAUCUGAAGGCGAGGUUGUCUAACUCAAGCUCGUCAAGCCGAUGUCCAAGGCUUUAGAAGAGAAGAAAGGAAGUUGAUCCGAAAGAGAA